AUAUAUAAUUGAAAGUUUACAUUUGUCAAAACUUACAUGUUCAAAACCAAUUACAAUAUGAUCCCAAAAUACGAGAUUAAACUGGCGCCGCAACAUCCCUUCAUCAAAGGCAUAAUGAUACCUGAUAUUACUGAUUCCCUGGNAUAUGAUGUCAAAAUAUGAGAUUAAACUGGCGCCGCAGCAUCCCUUCAUCAAAAGCAUAAUGAUACCUGAAAUUACUGAUUUCCUGGGACAUACAAGUAAUUUUGAAAGAGUAGAUCAGCAUUUAAGCUGGUGAGUUUCAUAAGUAUUUAAGUGACAAUGUUUGUAUGAAAUGAAAUGUUUUGUCUUUGUUUGUUUGUGUUUAGAAAAUCCUAUAUUUUCUACUAGUAUAAAAGUAGCCUUCACUCAAGACCAAUGUUUGUUUCCAAAAUGUAUGUAAGUGUAAAAUAACCAAUGUGUUUUGAAAACCUUGUAAAUCAAUGCAUUUUUAAUACCCCAUGUGAGUUUUAUAACCAUACUAUUGACUCGGAAUGCCUAUACACAACGUUCUUCAGGCGUUGGAAUGUUAUGACGUUUGUCACCCCAAACGGUGGACUGCAGCUAACAGUCAGGGCGCGGGUUGUCAAGCCCGUAUAGAUCUAUACACAAACACCAUGCUCCCCCUCCAAGGGAUUCUGGUAUAUAAUACAGGACUUGAAAUGUGUACUCGAACGUACGUGAAGUUAGCGUCUCACAAAACCGUGGUAUAAAAACAGAUCUACUUGUUAAAAUGUUUCAUUUGUUCUUGUAUACGAAAGUGACUUCUUGAAAUUCAUGUUUCUAGUACAUAAGAGUUAGAAAUUUGUUUGUAAAACUAUACCUAUUAUAGUUUUCUAAAAGUGUGUCUCGUUUGUUUAGAAAUACCUAGAAAAGAAAUCAUUUGUUAUGAAAACAUAGAUUUUUGGUGUAGAGUCUAAGAUAGACAAGUAUACAUAUAAUCUAAGAAAAUGUUUAGCUUAUACAUGCAUUACAACAAUUUAUAAUUUAAUGGAUGGAAUAUAACAUAUUUUGUAUAUAUAAAGGUUCCCUAUAUAGUUUAUAAAUCACAUGCGAUUUGGAUAUAUAAAAGCACAUAAAAUAAUUGUUUAUGUAACACAUGAUAAUACUCAUGUGUUUACUUGUAUUCCCCCCUUGAGAGCAUAUAAAAGCAUUUAGAAUAUUUAAAAAGGUUGAUUAAGGGGUAUGAAACUCACUUGAUUGAUUGGGGAAAACGAGAAGAAAAUCAAGCAGAACUUCGGCUCGUGAAAGUCGAUUUUCUCGGGAUUCUCGGGAAUCUCGGGAAUCUCGGGAGAGUAGAACCUUCCUUCGGAACUUGAGUGUGAAAACCGGGGCUUCGGGAGGGCUUCGGGAGCUUAACCGCAGAGUUUCAGCACGAGAGAGGGAAGAAUGGAGCACCUAAACCCGGCACCCCAAGAGUUCUAUUUAUAGGGGGGUAUUUUUGAGUGCCACGUCGUGGCUAGGGUUGGCCACGUCAUGGGGAGCAAUCCUAUCCUCUUCCAUUGAUUGGACGCCCUCAGUCACUUGCCGGGUCGCGGCAAAACAGUGCCACGUUGUGGGGAGGCCUGACAGCCUUGGAUUUUGGACCCCGAACUUGUAAAAUCCAUAACUUUCGCGUACGAGCUCCGUUUUCGACGUUCUUUAUAUGCACGCGUAGCUGAAAAUAUGAUCUACAACUUUAGUUUAGACUUCAUCGGCAAAUUUUGACUUUAUUUUUAAUUAUUUAUUUUUAAUUAUUUAUUUUUAACGGGCCGGGACACGAAAAGUCCGUAUAAAAUCCGUAACUUCUUCAUCCGAUGUCCGUUUUCGUCAGACUUUUCGCUGUUGCGCUACUAAUGUUGAGACCUUUGAUUCUCAUUUAGGUUGUUUUGGUCAAAAGUCUCUCGAGCUCUAUUUCGAGUUUUUAGCUGUCUACUGCUAUAUUCAGAUCUUGGAAAAAUCAUAACUUCCUCAUACGAAGUCAGAUUUGGACGUUCUUUUUGUGUACGCUCACGGUUUAAUGUUAUCUAUAACUUUCAUUUAGAUACCUAAGGCUAAAUGCUAUCGUAUUGAAACUUCGCGUUUUCCGUUUAAUCGGUGUUGUCGGUUUUGUCGGAAAUCUUAGAAUGGUCAUAACUUCUUCGUUGUAACUCGGAUUUUGGUGUUCUUAGUAUUUAUGUAAACAUUGACACAAUGUCUAACAUAAUAGAUAUUCUUAGAAAAAUUUUUACAUAUUUCAUCUUCGAAGUUAAUUUCAUUACUUCAAAAGUAGCUACAAUACUUGACUUUUUAGGUCAUUACGAAGAGUUGAAAUAUCGGGUUGUCACAUAAACUCUUGGUCAGAGUAUUUUUAAUCCCUUAUGUAUUUAUAGUUAGUAUAUCUUUUAUGGGUUGAUAUAC
rnacentral:lncRNA from 1 species